GACGGUACGGCUCAGUGGUAGAGUGGUUGCUUAGCAUGUAUGAGGUCCUGGGUCCGAUCCCCAGUACCUCCA
rnacentral:tRNA from 1 species